rnacentral:rRNA from 1 species
UGCCAGCAGCCGCGGUAAUACGUAGGGGGCUAGCGUUAUCCGGAUUUACUGGGCGUAAAGGGUGCGUAGGCGGUCUUUCAAGUCAGGAGUUAAAGGCUACGGCUCAACCGUAGUAAGCUCCUGAUACUGUCUGACUUGAGUGCAGGAGAGGAAAGCGGAAUUCCCAGUGUAGCGGUGAAAUGCGUAGAUAUUGGGAGGAACACCAGUAGCGAAGGCGGCUUUCUGGACUGUAACUGACGCUGAGGCACGAAAGCGUGGGGAGCAAACAGGAUUAGAUA